UAGUAACGGCGAGUGAAGCGGCAACAGCUCAAAUUUGAAAUCUGGCUCUCUUUGGGGGUCCGAGUUGUAAUUUGCAGAGGAUGCUUUGGCAUUGGCGGCGGUCUAAGUUCCUUGGAACAGGACAUCACAGAGGGUGAGAAUCCCGUACGUGGUCGCCUGCCUUUGCCGUGUAAAGCUCCUUCGACGAGUCGAGUUGUUUGGGAAUGCAGCUCUAAAUGGGAGGUAAAUUUCUUCUAAAGCUAAAUACUGGCCAGAGACCGAUAGCGCACAAGUAGAGUGAUCGAAAGAUGAAAAGUACUUUGGAAAGAGAGUCAAAAAGCACGUGAAAUUGUUGAAAGGGAAGCGCUUGCAGCCAGACUUGCCCGCAGUUGCUCACCCAGGCUUUGGCCCGGGGCACUCUUCUGCGGGCAGGCCAGCAUCAGUUUGGGCGGUUGGAUAAAGGCCUCUGUCACGUAUCUCCCUUCGGGGUGACCUUAUAGGGGAGGCGCAAUGCAACCAGCCCGGACUGAGGUCCGCGCAUCUGCUAGGAUGCUGGCGUAAUGGCUGUAAGCGGCCCGUCUUGAAACACGGACCAAGGAGUCUAACAUCUAUGCGAGUGUUUGGGUGUCAAGCCCGAGCGCGCAAUGAAAGUGAACGGAGGUGGGAACCCUUUUGGGUGCACCAUCGACCGAUCCUGAUGUCUUCGGAUGGAUUUGAGUAAGAGCAUAGCUGUUGGGACCCGAAAGAUGGUGAACUAUGCUUGAAUAGGGUGAAGCCAGAGGAAACUCUGGUGGAGGCUCGCAGCGGUUCUGACGUGCAAAUCGAUCGUCAAAUUUGGGCAUAGGGGCG
rnacentral:rRNA from 1 species